rnacentral:lncRNA from 1 species
CAAACAUUUUCUUUUCAUUUUUUUUUUUCAAUUAAGUUUUUUUUAUUUAUUUCGAACCAUGUAUAUAUAUAAUAUUUUUUUAAAAACUUUUUUGUUGAAGUUUUGAUCUUUUUUUUUUAAUUAUAUUUCUGUUUGUUUGUUAUUUUUCCAUUUUUAUUUUUUUUGUUUGUAGUAAAGGACCUGGAAGGAAACACUGUUAUAUAAUUAUUAAAACUUGAUAUCAAUAAAAAAAAAAACAACAAAAAAUCGCAACAAACAAUCGAUUGAUUGAUUGAUCAAUCAGUCAGACAAACAGACAGACAUAAUGAACACAAGACUUGGAAAAUAGUUGCUUAAAUAAAGCCAUAAUAUUGAUAUCAUUACUUUGGAUAAAAGGCAAAGUCAAUACUGGUGAGAUUCAACUCAGAAUAGUGCAGAGAAUAACAACAACAAUAGUAAUAAUAAUAGUAAUAAUAAUAAUAAUAAUAAUACAAUAGGCACAAGGCCUGAAAUUUUGGGGGAAGGGGCUGGUCAGUUACAUCGACCCCAGUGAGUAACUGGUACUUAAUUUAUCGACCCUGAAAGGCAAAAUCGACCUCGGUGGAAUUUGAACUCAAAACCUAGUGAUAGGCGAAAUACCUAUUUCUUUACUACCCACAAGGGGCUAAACACAGAGAGGACAAACAAAUGGAUUAAGUCGAUUAUAUCGACCCCAGUGUGUAACUGGUAUUUAUUUAAUCGACCCCGAAAGGAUGAAAGGCAAAGUUGACCUCGGCGGAAUUUGAACUCAGAAUGUAGCGGCAGGCGAAAUACCACAAAGCAUUUCGCCCGGCAUGCUAACAAUUCUGCCAGCUUUGUCACCUUAAUAAUAAUAAUAAUAAUAAUAAUAAUAAUAAUAAUAAUAAUAAUAAUAAUAACUGUUUCUAAUUGAGGCACAAGGUCAACCAUUUUGUUAAACUGAAUUUAAUUUGUAUUCAAUACUCGACUGGUACUUUAUUUUUCUCAACCCCAGAGGGAAGAAAAGGCAAAGUUGAUCUAGGUGGGAUUGAAACAUAGAAUGUAAGGAGAAUGUAAAGGCAUUUUCUUUUUCAAUGCUCUAAUGAUUCGGCCAAUCCAUUGCCCUAACUAAUAAUAAUAAUAAUAAUAAUAAUAAUAAUAAUAAUAAUAAUAAUCCUUUCUACUAUAAGCACAAGGCCUGAAAUUUGGGAAGAGAGGAGUAGUCAACUACAUCGAUCCCUGUGUUUCACUGGUACUUAAUUUAUUGACCCUGAAAGGAUGAAAGGCAAAGUCAACUGCAGUGGAAUUUGAACUCAGAACGUAAAGAUGAAUGAAAUGCUGUUAAGCAUUUUGCUCAGCACUCUAACAUUUCUGCCACCUCACUGCCUUAAACAACAACAACAAUAAUAACAAUAAUAAUAAUAAUAAUAAUCCUUUCUACUAUAGGCAAUAAUAAUAAUAAUAAUCCUUUCUACUAUAGACACAAGACCUGAAAUUUGCAAGGUGGGGUCUAGUCAAUUACAUCGACCCCAGUGUAUCACUGGUACUUAAUUUAGCAAUCCCAAAAGCAUGAAAGGCAAAGUCGACCGUGGCAGAAUUUGAACUCAGAAUGUAUUUUGUCCAACGUGCUAAUGAUUCUGCCAGCUUGCUGCCUUAAAUAAUAAUAAUAAUAAUAAUAAUAAUAAUAAUUCUUUCUAAUUUUUGGCACAAGGCCAGCAAUUUUGAGGGGAAGAAGUUAGUCAAUACCAUCGGCGCUAGUUUUUGACAUGUACUUCAUUUUAUCAACCCCAGAGGAAUGUAAAGCAAAGUUUGCUUCAGUAGGAUUCGAACUCAGUACGUAAAAAAACAAAUCGGAAUAAAUACCAUACUACAUUUUGUUUGACAUACUAACUAUUCUGCAGAUUCACAUCUUAUGAUUUCUAAUAAAUAUAUAUUUUUUUGUGAUUUUGGCAUAGAACCAAAAUUUUGAGAGGAGGGUGUUAGUUGAUACCAUUGAACCCCAGCAGAUGACUGGUACUUUAUUUUAUUGACUCCUAAGAGAUGGAAGGCAAAGCUGACUUUGGGUGGGAUUUGACCUCAGUACAUACAAAAAUUGGAAUAAAUGCCUCAGGGUAUUUUGUCUGAUGUUCUAUUGAUUUUGCCAAUCCACUACUCUAAUGACUUCAGAUAAUAAUAAUAAUAAUAAUAAUAAUAAUAAUAAUAAUAUGAGAUAACUUGACUGAAGUGUGGAAAAUGAAGAAGGUGAAGAUAGUGCCAAUUAUUGUCGGGUCCUUGGUGACAGUAUCAGAAGGCAUCAAGAGGAAUAUGAAGGAAAUGGGAAUAGAGUGUCAAGCAGAAUGGUUACAAGUUUUACAUCCUUGGCAUGGCCAGAACAAUCAGGUAAGUUUUACAGAUAGCAUGGUACCAUAGGUUGCAGAUAAGAAGCUCAUUAUGCAUUCAAGGCUCCAGGAGUUCAAACAAAACCAGAGUUAACAAUAAUAAUAAUAAUAAUAAUAGUUAUAAUAAUGGUUUUCAAUUUUGGCACAAGACCAGCAAUUGUGGAGGCAAAUGCAAGUCAAUUAUAUCAACCCCAGUGCUCAUCUGGUACUUAUUUUAUCGACCCCCAAAAGGCUGAAAUGCUGCUAGGAAUUUUGCCCAGCAAUUUGACUACACUGUCAGCUCACCACGAUGAUGAUGAUGAUGAUGGUGGUAAUAAUAAUGAUAAUAAUUUGAUACAAGAGUAGACAAACAACACGAGAAAAGACAAAAAAUAGCAGAACUUACAAUACAAACUUCAGAGAACCCUUAAAUGUAGUGAAGUUGUUACUAUCCCAAUUGUAAUAAAAGCCUCAGGCACAUAGUUGUAAGGAAUUUAAACGGUUGGUUAGAGACAUUGGAUAUUGGGCUGAAUUUCCUGACAUGACAGAAAACCUGUUUGUUUGGCAUAGCAAGAACCAUAAGAAAGAGACUAGAUACAUAACGUUGUAGAAUGUGGCUUGGUAUCUGGACAUCAAGCAAUCCAAUACCAGCAGAACAAGAAAAUUCUGCAUGACUGAUGUUAACCAAGAGUGAGAUUUAAAGUGAAGUGACAGGAAAACAAUACAAACAUGAGUCAGAGGCAGUGAUAGCAAAUAAUAAUAACCUCAGCAAAAUACAAGUUUAAUAGACCAGAGAAAAGAAAUUAUGAACAACAAUGGAAAUCUGUUGCCCAUCAGAUGUUAAUCUUUAUAUAUAAAGCUGAAGUUGUCUGUGUGUGUGUGUGUUUGUGUGGCAGGUUUGGUAGCCUUCAACUGACACUAUCUCCUCCGAGACCCUGCAGCGCAAGUUGACCAAAAUUGACAGUAUGAUAGAAGAAGGCUUGCUCUUCAUUCCGUAGAAGGAAAAAAUUAAAAUCGGACCAUGUUAAGACCAAAAAUUAUUUACUUCAAAAAGGUGCUUUUUUCUAUGAAAAUCCCUAUUUUUUACGAUGUUUUGACUGCUGUGUCGCCAUUUUUCGGUGUAUUUCAACUAGAAAAAUUUUUGCUUAAAAAGAAUAACAAGCUACAUUAUGCAAAAUUUUUACUUUUCAAAAAUUCCAAUUCUAAAGGGUCGAAAAGAAAACAAACCCGAGCAACGCCGGGCUAUACUGCUAGUAUUAUGUUAAAGAUGAGUGAAAAAGAAAACAUUCUGAAGUAAUGAGAAAUGUGCAGUUACUCCAGCCAGACUAUAGCUUUAAGUUUUUAGCAUUUAAACCAGCCAUACCCAGCCCAAAUAUUUCACCUAUUUUAUGUUCGAACUGGCCAGAUCUGGUUUCUCAUACCUAUCCUGCAAUGCUACCCUAAAAAUAGACAAUCAUAUCACCAAAAUCUCAAAGCUAUAAUACAUGAUUAAUACAAAACAAUGUGAAUAGAUAAAACAUCACAUUCGACAGAGUAGUCUGAAUGCUAAAGGGUUAAAUUCAUACUUACUGCAUAUGGCAGUGUAUAAGAUACACUUUUUAUUCUUAAAUCAUCAUUGUUUAACGUCCGCUUUCCAUGCUAGCAUGGGUUGGACGAUUUUGAAUGAGGGCUGGCGAACCAGAUGGCUGCACCAGGCUCCAAUCUUGAUCUGGCAGAGUUUCUACAGCUGGAUGCCCUUCCUAACGCCAACCACUCUGAGAGUGUAGUGGGUGAUUUUUACGUGCCACUGGCACAAGGGGCCAGUCAGGCGGUACUAGCAACGACCUCGCUCGAAUCUUUUUACACAUGCUACCUGCACAGGUGCCAGUAAGGUGAUGCUGGUAACGAUCAUGCUCGAAUGGUGCCUUUUACAUGCCACCGGCACAGAAGCCAGUUAGCCGCCCUGGCAACGAUCACGCUUGGAUGGUGCUCUUAGCACCUUACUAGCAUGGGCACAAGUGCCAGUAAGGUGAGGCUGGUAACGAUCACACGUAGCAAAAAAAUUGCCAUGCAUCAAAUGCAACUGUAUUAUAGAUGGGACACCAAGUGAUGAAACAUAUCAAAUCUGUUUUUUCCACAAAAUAUAAUUUCCUUCCUCAAAAAAAAAUAGGGGUUUGUCCCAGAUAAGAGUGUGUUCUAUACAUCAGAAAAUACAGUAUCGGAGCACUUGAAUGCAGAAUUAACAGCCUCAGCAAUAAUUUUGAGAAGAUGGGCAUUACAAAGCCAGAAAUAGCAUGGCCAGUUAUAAAAUUAUAGCUACAAGUCAUUGGAGACACUGUGUAAAUUAUGUAAAACAUUCAAGACAUUUAGAAUGUGAUAAGUGCAUAUACACACAUAUAAACAUGUGUAUAUUCUACCAUCUGAAUGACAGAUGGUAGAAUAAUCAUAACAACAUGGUAAUUUUACAAUAGAAAAUAGCUAUGACAACAGGGUAAAUUUAAUGUAGAAAAUAAACUAUGGCAACAGGGUAAUUUCACAGUAGAAAAUAGUUAUGACAACAGGGUAGAAUAGCUUUGACAAUAGAGUAAUUUCACUAUAGAAAAUAGCUAUGAUAAUCCAUGACUGCACAUAUGUAUACAAGUGCACAUACAUACACGCAUAUAUAUAUAUAUAUAUAUAUAUAUCCCGUCCAACCCGAGCUAGCACGGAAAAUGGACAUUAAACAAUGAUGAUGAUGCAUAUGUAUGGGCACAGAUGUGGUUGUGUAGUAAGAAGCUUGCUUCCCAACCACCUGGUUCCAGGUUCAGUCCUACUGCAUGGUACCUUGAGCAAGUUUCUUCUACAAUAGCCUCAGGCUGACCAAAGCCUUGUGAAUGGAUUCGGUAGAUGGAAACUGAAAGAAACCCGACAUAUAUAUGUAUAUGUGUGUGCAUAAAUAUGUAUCUAUGUGUGUAUCUUUGUGUCUGUUUUUGUCCUCCAUGUUCCUGUAACUUAACGCUUCAGCAAAAAAGACCAAUAAAAUAAUUACCAGGGUUAAAAAUGCUAAAAUCCUUCAAGGUAGUGCCCCAGCAUGGCCAGAGUCUAAUAACUGAAACAAAGUAAAAGAUAAAAGAAAAAAAUAUGUGUAUGCAUAAGUACAUGACCACCCCACUGAUUUGACUAAAUUCCAAAGUAAGAGUCUUGUUUUGAAUUUCAAACCAAGUUUUUUUCUAUUAGGGAAAAAAUAUUUGCAAACUAAAACCAGAGCACAUACUAUGAGCUUCCACACAGUUUCCAUUCACCAGAUUUCACUCAUAAGGUAUCAUUUAACCUAAAGGUUUGAUAAAAAAAAUAAAAAUAGUAAAAUCUUAUACAAUGUGUUGUAGAAUAGGAUUGAAUCAGGUACCACAAGGUUGAAAACCAAACUUCUUAACCAUUCAACCACGCCUUUGCCCUUCAUUCUUCCAGUGGUUGAUAAAACAAGUACCAGUGAUAUACUGAGGUCUGUUUAUUCAACUGAAUACAUUCCCCUUUAAAUUUUCUAUCCAUGUGCAAACAUUAAAAGCAGAUGGGUCAAUAAAAUAAGUACCAGUUGAAUAUUGGGGUCAAUGUAACCAACUUAGCUCUCCCUUAAAAUUGCUGGUCAUGCGCCUAAAUUUGAAACUAAUAUUAAAAGGGGACAGUAGAUCAAUAGAGAAUUAGACAAACAUGCUUUCAGUACUUUUUCUCUUUUUUUUUUUUUUUUUUUCUUUACUUGUUUCAGUCAUUUUGAUUGCGGUCAUUCUGGAGCACCGCCUUUAAUCGAGCAAAUCGGCCCCAGAACUUAUUCUUUGUAAGCCCAGUACUUAUUCUAUCGGUCUCUUUUGCCGAACCGCUAAGUGACGGGGACAUAAACACACCAGCAUCAGUUAUCAAGCAAUGCUAGGGGGACAAACACAGACACACAAACAUACACGCACAUACAUAUAUAUACAUAUAUACGACGGGCUUCUUUCAGUCCGUCUACCAAAUCCACUCACAAGGCUUUGGUCAGCCCGAGGCUAAAGUAGAAGACACUUGCCCAAGGUUCCACGCAGUGGGACUGAACCCGGAACCAUGUGGUUGGUAAACAAGCUACUUACCACACAGCCACUCCUGCGCCUAAUUGUGAUCUUUUACAUUCAGUUUGAUUCCAACCAGAGUCAACUUCACCUUUCAUUCUUCCAUGAGGGUUAGUAAGCUAUAAAAACAACCAAGUACUAUUCUUUCCCCACAAAACCUUGUGGCCUUGUGCCUACGUCAGAAAUCAAUAUUAAAAGAUUUUUUUUUAAAUGCCAACAGUAAUAACUGCAACAACAAACAAAAUGACAAUGACACUGUUGUAUAAAAUGUUAUGUAGAAAUUGUAAAAAUUCAUGAGCAACAGUAUUGUGACAAGUGAGCACAGAAAAUAUGAAAAUAAUAAUUAAAACAAGCCUCAGAAAAGAGCCAUAGCAAAAGCAUCAUUUUACCACUGAAAAUAUUCAUGACUAAUAAGUAAUUUUACCACUGAAAAUAGUCAUAAUAAAGUGUAGUUUUACAACUGAAAACAGUCAAGAGUAAUGUGUAAUUGUAUCAUUGAAAACAGCCAUGAUCAAAGUGUAGUUUUAACAGUGAAGUAGUCAAACAGAGUCGUCUAACUACGUAAAAUAUAUCAAUGAAUACAGGGUAGUUUUAUUACAGAAAAAUAUCCAUGAGUAUAGGGUAGAUUUUAACAAAUAUAUAGCCAUGACAACAGAGUAGUUUUGCAGCAAAAUGCAACCAUAAUGACUUGUAGAUUUUUUUUGUUUUUGUCAGAGAAAAAUAGCUGUGAUGAAGAGGGUAGUUUUAAAGUAGAAAAUGGUUAUAACAACAGAGUAAUUCUACAGUAGAAAAUAGCUAUGACAAUUUUAGUUUUACAGUAGAAAACAGUUAUAACAACAGGGUAGAUUUACAGUAGAAAAUAGCUAUGACAACAGGGUAAUUUUACAGUAGAAAAUAGCUUUGAUGACAGGGUAGUUUUACAGUAGAAAAUAACCAAGACAGCAGUAGAAUAAUCAUUGCAACAUGGUAAUUUUACAAUAGAAAACAGCUAAGACAACAGGGUAGAUUUACUGUAGAAAAUAAACUCUGACAAUGGUAAUUUUACAAUAGAAAAUAGUUAUAACAAGGCAGAAUAGCUAUGACAACUGGGUAGAGUCACAGAAGAAAAUAGCUAUGACAAGAGGGUAGUUUUACAGUAGAAAAUAGCUAUAACAAUGGUAGAAUAAUCAGGACAACAGGGUAAUUUUACAAUAGAGCAUAGCUAUGACACCAGGGUAGAUUUACUGUAGAAAAUAAACUAUGACAACAGGGUAGUUUUACAGUAGAAAAUAGCUACAACAGAUGGUAGUAUAAUCAGGACAACAGGGUAAUUUUACAAUAGAGCAUAGCUAUGACACCAGGGUAGAUUUACUAUAGAAAAUAACUAUGACAACAGGGUAGUUUUACAAUAGAAAAUAGCUUUUUUACAGUAGAGCAUAGCUAUGACAACAGGGUAGAUUUACUGUAGAAAAUAAACUAUGACAACAGGGUAGAAUAGGAAUAGCUAUGACAAUAAUGUAAUUUUACUGUAGAGAAUAGCUUUGACAUCAGGGUAGAUUUACAAUAGAAAAUAGCUAUGACAGCAGGGUAAAAUAAUUAUAAGGUAAUUUUACAUUAGAAAAUAGCAAUUAUAACAGGGUAAUUGUACUGUAGAAAAUAGUCAUAACAGGGUAGGAUUACAGUAGAAAAGAGCUAUGACAAGGUAAUUUCACAGUAGAAAAUAGAUAUGACAACAGGAUAAUUUUACAGUUAUGAUAGCUAUGACAACAGGGUGGAUUUACAAUAAAAAAUAGCUAUGACACUUUUGGUUUUACUGUAGAAAAUAGCUGUAACAACAGGCAGAUUUUAUUUUAAAAAAUCUUUUUAAUCUGUAGUGGUAUGUAGUUACUACAAAUGAAAAUAUUGUUAUAUUAAGUUUUGACUUAUUCAUCCAAAUUGGAAGCAUUGAAGAUAAUUUUUGCAAUCAUUAUUAUUAUUUUUAUUACAGGCACAAGUUUGUUUGCUUUUUUUCUUUUAUUUUACAAUAAUAAAAAAAAAAUUUUUCAUAGUAAAACAUGAUGAUGGAAAAUUAGAAAAAAAAUAAAUUAAAAAAUUGGCUUAUAAAUCUCAAGGCUUUAAGAAGAAUUGCAGUACCAAGGCAUUCCACAUUUUCAAACACAGCCUUGUAUUUAGCAUACAAGAUAAAAUACCCACAGAGUUCUUGUCAAUUCUUAAAAUUUUUCUUUAUUUAUCGUUAGAUAUUUCAGAUGGACAGAAGAUGCCCUGACAGAAUGCCAAGAAAGUUCUUUGACUGACCACAUUCUUAUAACAGGUACAAGAUGAACCAACAAGGGAGAGAGAAAGAGAGAGAGAGAGGUGGGGUAUAAUGUGGUCACACAUCCUGCAAGAAACAGCAGCUACAUCUCCUUCAUACUAUACCCUAACAUCUCAAAAUCAAAAGGACACAUGGAAUAAAGCAGUCCAGUAUAUAUUAUGCUUAGAAAAAAAGGGAAAAAAAAAAGAAAAAAAAUCAUCAAACAUGGUCAUAGCUGGAAUGCCUUUGACCAUAGGUCUGCUUAAUCAAAGCCAACUUGGGGCUAAUCUGCAAAUCAGCUACAAGACACACAACACUUGUUUAAUCUCUUUUUUUUUUGUCUUUUUUGUUGUUGUUGUUGGAUACAUUUUUACCAAAUGAUUAAUAAAAAAAAAACCAUGAACUAAUAAACUUGUUUAAUUUGAACAAAUCGUUAUUGUAAAAAUAUUUACAAUUUUUUUUUUCUUUUGUCUUUUGUUGUUGUCCAUUAGGAACAAGAAAUAAGGCAAUAAUUUCCAUAUAAAAUAUAAAUAAAGAAAAAAUGGAAGCAAAAAAAAACCAGAUAAAUAAAUAAAAGAGUAUUUAAAACAGUUGAUGUAUAUUAUAUAUACAUACAUAUGUAUUUAUAUGUAUGCAUACACAUAUAUAUACACAAACAUGUGUGUGUGUAAGUGAUGUGCAUGUGUAUGCAUGUAUAUAUACAUCUGUGCAUUUAUGUUUAUGUGUGAAACAGAUAUAAAAUGAUGAUGGUGAUUA